rnacentral:lncRNA from 1 species
AUGUGUUCCGGGAGAAAGCUUCCAGGCCUCCAAACGGGCAGGGGCAGGUUGAGCGGGCCAGAGGUCCCCACGCUCUCCCUCGCCACCUCCCCCGGCCCCCCACCUAACCGGGCUCCCCUCUUGGCCCCUUCGGGGACCUGUCGCGUGUCUGCGGAGGAGGGUGGCGGAGACGGCGGAUUCCCCCGCAGCGGCGGGAGCGCAGGAGCCCGGCCAGCCCCAGCCCCAGCCCCAGCCCCAGCCCCAGCCCCAGCCCGGCGGGAGGUGCGGGCGCUGCUCCCCGGCACACACGCACGCACACUCGCCCGCACGCUGCGCGCUCGCGCUCACACCCGGCUCACACCCGGCUCACACCCGGCCCGCGCCGGCCCGAAGCAAGGAGCCUUCUCCAGGGGCGGAGGAGACCGUGGUCGCCCGGCCGCGGCUCGGCCUCACUGGUGCUUCUCGCGCCUUCUCCCGGCCGCGGCCCGCGCGGGGUUUCGGGGUGGCCCUCCGGGGCCCGCCGCCUCCCCCACUCCGCGGGGCCGGGGCCGGGGCCGGGGCCGGGGCCUGGAGUCCCCCGCGCCCUCGGUGCCCCCCUCCCCGGGCCACCUGGGCGGAGCACGCGGCCGUCCGGGCGCCGAGGGGGCUGCGGGGGUCCCGGGCGGGGCGGGGCGCGGCGCGGGCGGACGGGCGCUUACCUGCGGCGGCGGCGGCGGCGGGGGCGGCGGGGGGCGGCCGGGGCGUGGGCCGGGGCCGGGGCCGGGGCCGGGGCGCCGGGGACGCGGGGCUGGGCGCGCGGACCGAGGCCUGGCCGUCCCCUGCCCUCCGCCCCCUGCGCCUCCGGCCGCGCGCGCGGGGGCCGGGCCGGGCCCAGACGCACUUCCUCAAUCCUGCGGCCCGCGGGCUGGCGGGGAGCGAGCGCGGGCGAGGGGGGGCUGGCGCGGCGCUGCCGGCGAGCUGCACGCGGGCGCCUCAGUUUCCCCAGCCGGAACGCGGAGGUGCCCCGACGCCGCGCCCCGGAGGCCCGUGAGCCCUCGCAGCGCGCGGACCCCGCCGGGUCUGGGGGCCCUGCCUUCUCCUGUCGGGGCGGGCGCAGCCGCAAGAUUGGUCGGUUCUCUGCUCAACGCAGCGUCGUCCACCGUCCCCGGGCUCCGGAGCAAAACCCAAGGGCUAACCUCGGACUUGUAUGGGUUAGGCAGGGCCUCGCAGUGA